rnacentral:rRNA from 1 species
GCCCCGGUAAACGGCGGCCGUAACUAUAACGGUCCUAAGGUAGCGAAAUUCCUUGUCGGGUAAGUUCCGACCUGCACGAAUGGCGUAAUGAUGGCCAGGCUGUCUCCACCCGAGACUCAGUGAAAUUGAACUCGCUGUGAAGAUGCAGUGUACCCGCGGCAAGACGGAAAGACCCCGUGAACCUUUACUAUAGCUUGACACUGAACAUUGAGCCUUGAUGUGUAGGAUAGGUGGGAGGCUUUGAAGUGUGGACGCCAGUCUGCAUGGAGCCGACCUUGAAAUACCACCCUUUAAUGUUUGAUGUUCUAACGUUGGCCCGUAAUCCGGGUUGCGGACAGUGUCUGGUGGGUAGUUUGACUGGGGCGGUCUCCUCCUAAAGAGUAACGGAGGAGCACGAAGGUUGGCUAAUCCUGGUCGGACAUCAGGAGGUUAGUGCAAUGGCAUAAGCCAGCUUGACUGCGAGCGUGACGGCGCGAGCAGGUGCGAAAGCAGGUCAUAGUGAUCCGGUGGUUCUGAAUGGAAGGGCCAUCGCUCAACGGAUAAAAGGUACUCCGGGGAUAACAGGCUGAUACCGCCCAAGAGUUCAUAUCGACGGCGGUGUUUGGCACCUCGAUGUCGGCUCAUCACAUCCUGGGGCUGAAGUAGGUCCCAAGGGUAUGGCUGUUCGCCAUUUAAAGUGGUACGCGAGCUGGGUUUAGAACGUCGUGAGACAGUUCGGUCCCUAUCUGCCGUGGGCGCUGGAGAACUGAGGGGGGCUGCUCCUAGUACGAGAGGACCGGAGUGGACGCAUCACUGGUGUUCGGGUUGUCAUGCCAAUGGCACUGCCCGGUAGCUAAAUGCGGAAGAGAUAAGUGCUGAAAGCAUCUAAGCACGAAACUUGCCCCGAGAUGAGUUCUCCCUGACUCCUUGAGGGUCCUGAAGGAACGUUG